AGGGCAUGAGACUGACAGACCAACUUUAGUGCUUAUAAUAAUCUCUAAAUAAUAAAUCACAGUAUGAAUGAAACUACACCUGUUAUCAGACAACAGAUAAUUUUGUCACUGCUUGAUAAAGGCAGCACAGCGCAUGGAUCUCUACCAGAACAUGCAAGUGUGACCAGCUCAAGAGGUAUCCAUUCCACUGGCGGUAUGAGUUGUCUGCUCUGAAAACAGCAUAUGCCUGCCUAAAAGCUAUCAGAUUAUGUUUAUGAUUAAAAGGUAGCUACACUAUGUCUUCCAGCUGUGUUCGGUGAGGAUACUUCUCUCCGCUUCUCCACUAAGCAUGCAGACGCUGUUGGACCCCACAACCUCAUUACCUGCAGAGAGAGGCUGCCAUAGAAUUACACCAAAAUACACAGUGAUGGACGGUGAAGACAUCAUAGAGGAUUGUGCAGAUAUUUUAGUGUAAUUCCUUCAUUGCAUCUAUUUUGUGUUUCCAUGGGACUUUGCUCUUGCUUGAAUGAUUGGUUGUCAGUAUGGAGAAAAAAAAAUGCUCUGUAUAAAAGAUAAAAGAUUUAACAUGUUUCUAUCCCAGCCUUAAUGUGUGGAGCAAUGUGGGUCUGCUAAUUCAUUUGCAUAUGCAUUUAUUGAC